UGCUAUACAUGCAGUCGAGCGGACAGAAGGGAGCUUGCUCCCGGAUGUUAGCGGCGGACGGGUGAGUAACACGUGGGUAACCUGCCUGUAAGACUGGGAUAACUCCGGGAAACCGGAGCUAAUACCGGAUAGUUCCUUGAACCGCAUGGUUCAAGGAUGAAAGACGGUUUCGGCUGUCACUUACAGAUGGACCCGCGGCGCAUUAGCUAGUUGGUGAGGUAACGGCUCACCAAGGCGACGAUGCGUAGCCGACCUGAGAGGGUGAUCGGCCACACUGGGACUGAGACACGGCCCAGACUCCUACGGGAGGCAGCAGUAGGGAAUCUUCCGCAAUGGACGAAAGUCUGACGGAGCAACGCCGCGUGAGUGAUGAAGGUUUUCGGAUCGUAAAGCUCUGUUGUUAGGGAAGAACAAGUGCAAGAGUAACUGCUUGCACCUUGACGGUACCUAACCAGAAAGCCACGGCUAACUACGUGCCAGCAGCCGCGGUAAUACGUAGGUGGCAAGCGUUGUCCGGAAUUAUUGGGCGUAAAGGGCUCGCAGGCGGUUUCUUAAGUCUGAUGUGAAAGCCCCCGGCUCAACCGGGGAGGGUCAUUGGAAACUGGGAAACUUGAGUGCAGAAGAGGAGAGUGGAAUUCCACGUGUAGCGGUGAAAUGCGUAGAGAUGUGGAGGAACACCAGUGGCGAAGGCGACUCUCUGGUCUGUAACUGACGCUGAGGAGCGAAAGCGUGGGGAGCGAACAGGAUUAGAUACCCUGGUAGUCCACGCCGUAAACGAUGAGUGCUAAGUGUUAGGGGGUUUCCGCCCCUUAGUGCUGCAGCUAACGCAUUAAGCACUCCGCCUGGGGAGUACGGUCGCAAGACUGAAACUCAAAGGAAUUGACGGGGGCCCGCACAAGCGGUGGAGCAUGUGGUUUAAUUCGAAGCAACGCGAAGAACCUUACCAGGUCUUGACAUCCUCUGACAACCCUAGAGAUAGGGGCUUUCCCUUCGGGGGACAAAGUGACAGGUGGUGCAUGGUUGUCGCCAGCUCGUGUCG
rnacentral:rRNA from 1 species